CCUACGGGAGGCAGCAGUGAGGACUAUUGGUCAAUGGACGAGAGUCUGAACCAGCCAAGUAGCGUGAAGGAUGACUGCCCUAUGGGUUGUAAACUUCUUUUAUAAAGGACUAAAACGAGGCACGUGUGCCUUUUUGCAUGUACUUUAUGAAUAAGGAUCGGCUAACUCCGUGCCAGCAGCCGCGGUAAUACGGAGGAUCCGAGCGUUAUCCGGAUUUAUUGGGGUUAAAGGUAGCGUAGAUGGGUUGUUAAGUCAGUUGUGAAAGUUUGCGGCUCAACCGUAAAAUUGCAAUUGAUACUGGCAGUCGUGAGUACAGUUGAGGUAGGCGGAAUUCGUGGUGUAGCGGUGAAAUGCUUAGAUAUCACGAAGAACCCCGAUUGCGAAGGCAGCUUACUAAACUGUGACUGACAUUGAUGCUCGAAAGUGUGGGUAUCAAACAGGAUUAGAUACCCGGGUAGUC
rnacentral:rRNA from 1 species